UCCAUGAGUACAUAUGAAAAUGGAGACUCACCAGGACCAGCUGCAGGGAUACAGAAUAGCAUUACACGAGCAAAUUCAAGCGUAAACACAGUAUUAGCAAUCAUAUUUCCUGUGCAUGCAUCAAGUAUCAAGAACUCAUUUUGUUAUGACUGUUCUAUUGAAUAUAUCAAGAGAUCAUGGAAACUAAGAACUGAAGGCAAUUCUUUAUUCCAACUCCCA